CUGUGCCUCCUGAUGGCUGUGUUCACCUGGACCUUCUGACCACCUUCCUUGUACUGUUCCAUCAGUCUGCAGAACUGGUACCUGGAUUUUUGCCGAUGGUGAUUCUCCUCCUCACCUUACUACUGAAGAAGGCACUAUUCCAGUGGACCACUGUGACCCAAGAGGCAUUCAGCCAUGAUGAUGUGGCCUUUACCUCCACUCCUGUCUUCUUCUACCCAGAUUCAUCACAGCCUGUUA
rfam:Loxodonta africana cont3.75130, whole genome shotgun sequence.